GUCCUGCUUAACCCAACCAACCAAGGGUUGGUAAAGGUCCUGUGAACCCAAUCCGUUCUUAAGUAAAAGAGCUUUCUGCCCUUGAAAACAGCAAAGGAACCGGAGGCUCAGAGAGGCCCAGUAACCCACCCAAAGUCACAGAGCUACCAAAGCAGGAGUGGGACCUGGUUUUCUGCUUCCCAAACCAGGGGCCUCCCAGUACCCAACACUUCGGCCUCUGAGUUAGAGGAAACGUGGAAGACGCUUUUAUGGUGUGCAGAAUGUGCAAGGCAGUGAGCCAUCAGCUGAACAGCCACCGACAGAGCUUCAUGGCCACAGCCCACUGGCCAGACCCUCAGCGGCCUCUCAUCGGCUGAGCUGAAUGAAGUCCAAACGGCUCAGCAGGUUUUCUAUUGCCUGGCAGCGCGGAGACACGUACUUUCCAACACGGUAGCCGGGGCUCACACGGGCCUCCCGAGGCCUGGAAACGCAGCUGGGGUGAAGCGGGACGUGAUGCACCCGUGAAAUACCCACGGGAUCUCAAAGACUGAGUCCAAAGUAGAAGAAUUAGAAAUACUCCAGUAUUAGAUAUUGUAUUAAAUACUCCAGUACUAAAAAAAAUUUUAAAAAUAAAAAUAAAUAAAUAAAUACUCCAGUACUUAGUAGUAGUAGAAAUCUCGUUAGGAAUUUCUUAACAUUGAUUACCUGUUUGAGAAUGUUUGGGAUAUAUUGGGUCAAAUAAAAUAUAUUCUCAAGUGUA